rnacentral:tRNA from 1 species
UGUAGCUCAGUUGGUAGAGCAUGGCCCUUGAAAAGCCAGGAUAGUGGGUUAAAUUCCCAGGACCA